UACGAAGGUGGCAAGCGUUGUUCGGAUUUACUGGGCGUACAGGGCGCGUAGGCGGUUGGGUAAGCCCUCCGUGAAAUCUUCGGGCCUAACCCGGAAAGUGCGGAGGGGACUGCUCGGCUAGAGGAUGGGAGAGGAGCGCGGAAUUCCCGGUGUAGCGGUGAAAUGCGUAGAUAUCGCUUGGAACGCCGAAGGUGAAAACAGGCUGCUGGGGUUGCGCCGACGCUGAGACACGAAAGCCAGGGGAGCAAACGGG
rnacentral:rRNA from 1 species